AAAGGGCCAUUUCUUUUUUUGCUGAGUUUACAAUCCAUCAGGAUUUACAAACCCUAUUUUUAUUGCAUUUAUUUCCAUCAAUAAUUAGUUGAAUUAUUGCACCCUGAAAAUGACUGUUAUAUUUUUCCUUAAAGCUUUCAAGCAAUUAACAUAAUGUGUCUGGUAAUUGUAUUUAAUUUCAUUGGCUACAUUUUUUAUAAUUGAACCUUUUAUUUAACUAGGCAAGUCAGUUAAUUAAGAACAAAUUCCUAUUUACAAUGACGGCCUCCUGCAGGGACGGGGGCUGGGAUUAAAUUUAGGAGGUAGGCAUAUCCUUUCCAGCUAAAACUUAGAUUGGAAUCUGUGCUUCAUGAGCAGCAAUCAAUCUGCAUGCAGGCAGCCUGCUCCAGCUCAUUGGUCAAAAUUCCAUAUGGCAGUUGGAACAGACAUAGCUGGAAAACAUAGACAGUUUCUGUAAAUGUACACAUUCUUUUUACAUUUGACUGCUAAAUGGUAGUCCCUGUUCUCCUGCAUUCUUGUUUUACUUUUGUAAGUAAAGCGGCAGUUUGUUGGGGAGAAGAAUUUCAAGGAAACAUUUUCUAGCUAUUUAACAUUAGCUCUCUGGCUAAUCCUCCAUGGACAUGGUAAGUUAAAAUGUUUACCUUUUGUAGGUGUUGGUUCUAGUUAGUCAACAUUUUGAUAUCGGUUUAGUUAAUGAUAGCAAAUGUGUGUAUGCGUGUGUUCUGUGUGUGAGAUGAUGAUCACAAUAACUUGAAAACAUUGUCAUGUCAACAUUGUCCUGCUAGCUAUGUGUGUGUGUUCUGUGUGAGAUUUGACGAUGAUUAUAAUCACAAUCAUUUACAGAAAAGAUUGGUACAUAUAGGAAACAUUGUGUGCAUGCAUGUGUGUGAGACAGUAAACUAUCCUAAUUCUUGAAGCGUGUACCCCCAAUAUGAAUGUGAAGAUUUUCUUGAUUCAUCAGAGUUCCUUGUAUUUUCUAUUGGACAAUACAAUACAUUUUGCCUAUCCCUGCUCCCCCUCAACACUCAUUCUAAAAUUACACCUCUCAACUGCCUUUUUCAAUUUUUGAUUCUCAUUUUUUGCAGGAAUCUUCUAGCUUGGAUGGAGGAAGGAACAAAGGGAAUGAGUAUAGAAAUGUAAUGCUGAUUCCUGAAACAUGUCAGUGACCUGAUGCAUGGCCUCUACAGGGGUGCUUGGCCACACACUCAGUUACCAGUAGUGACCUAUUCUGCCACAUCGCCAGGGAAGGAAGAGAGCAGAACCACUCUUCCAUAAAUCCAUGACAGUGCGAAACCCUUGAUCCUGAUUCAUGUAAAGUUGAUCUGACCCAUCAAACGACUCUUCAAGAGGGUCACCAUGCUCCAGAUCUCUUUCUGUGCUCAGAGGUACUUGAUGAGGAUCUACCCCAUCACACCACUAAUGAAUUAUUAAUCAAAUAAAACAAUGGGCCUUUG